GCAUCGGUGGUUCAGUGGUAGAAUUCCUGCCUCCUAUGCGGGAGACCUGGGUUCAAUUCCCAGCCAAUGCU
rnacentral:tRNA from 1 species